UUAAUCUCUUGAAGUCACAGUUUGAAUUUGUACUGUUAAUAUUGCUGACGUAUGAAUGAACAAACAGAUUAAUUUUUAAUUUUAACAUUUAAAAAUUUUUACAAAAAAUGCAAAAAUAUUAAGAGUGUUAAUAUUUUAAGAGUGUUAAAAAUGAUACUGAAGAAAGGAUUUGGUAAAAACUGACAAGGAUUGAGGCAGAGCUCGACGAGAGAGUGGUUGAUGCAAAGUGGAUUGUUCGAUUCGAUCAGAGAAAAAUUUAUCGACUCAGCAACGAUGCUGAAAUAUUUACCGAUUCCUCACUGGCGCUGGCAUGCGCAGCUUGUUCCGCGAGCGCGUUCA